CCUACGGGAGGCAGCAGUGGGGAAUAUUGCACAAUGGGGGGAACCCUGAUGCAGCAACGCCGCGUGGGUGAAGAAGUACUUCGGUAUGUAACGCCCUGUCAGCAGGGAAGAAAAUGACGGUACCUGACCAAGAAGCCCCGGAUAACUACGUGCCAGCAGCCGCGGUAAUACGUAGGGCGCAAGCGUUCUCCGGAUUUACUGGGUGUAAAGGGAGCGUAGACGGCAAGGCAAGUCUGGAGUGAAAGCCCGUGGCUCAACCACGGGACUGCUUUGGAAACUGUGUUGCUGGAGUGCAGGAGGGGUAAGCGGAAUUCCUAGUGUAGCGGUGAAAUGCGUAGAGAUUAGGAGGAACACCGGGGGCGAAGGCGGCUUACUGGACUGUAACUGACGUUGAGGCUCGAAGGCGUGGGGAGCAAACAGGAUUAGAUACCCUUGUAGUC
rnacentral:rRNA from 1 species